rnacentral:rRNA from 1 species
GACGAACGCUGGCGGCGUGCUUAACACAUGCAAGUCGAACGGAAAGGCCCUUGCUUGCAGGGGUACUCGAGUGGCGAGCGGGUGAGUACACGGUGGGUGAUCUGCCUUGUACUUCGGGAUAAGCCUGGGAAACUGGGUCUAAUACCGGAUAGGACCAUGCUUUAGUGUGUGUGGUGGAAAGUUUUUUCGGUACAAGAUGAGCCCGCGGCCUAUCAGCUUGUUGGUGGGGUAAUGGCCUACCAAGGCGACGACGGGUAGCCGGCCUGAGAGGGUGUACGGCCACAUUGGGACUGAGACACGGCCCAG